AUUUUUAUCUUCCGACUUAUAAAAGGUCGCCCCCUGCAGCAUAAUAGGGAGCCAUACGCCGAGGCGGAAAGACGGGUGCGACACGCACUCGUGAUCUAGAGGGUAGGGCGUGGUGCGGGCGGCGGCCGCGAGCCCGGCACCAUGGCUACGGUGGACGGGCGGCCGGCGCAGUAUGGCGUCACGCUGCGGCAGCUGCGCGAGCUGAUGGAGACGCGCGGCGCCGAGGGGCUGGCCAAGAUCAACGCGCUCGGCGGGCCGCAGGACCUGUGCAAGAAGCUCUUCACAUCGCCCACAGAUGGUAUGUACCUUUACCUUUGCUCGCCCACUUC
rnacentral:lncRNA from 1 species